ensembl:misc_RNA Y_RNA Y RNA
GGCUGAUCCAAGGGCAGUGGUUUUUACAACUAAUUGAUAACAAUCAGUUACAAAUUCCAUUGUUCCUUGUCCACUCCCACUGCUUCACUUGACUAGCCUCAA